CGGCCUGUGCGGGGCUGUCGGGGCCCGCUGUCCCUUGUCGCUGUCCCUCGAAAGCUCUCCUCAGUCCCCGUGUUAGUUCGGCCCUGACCGCGCUUUUGCUGUGUUCUGUGGUGCUGUUGUACCUGGAGUUCUCUCCAACGGUUCUCUUGCGAAGAAUCCUGCAGGAAAGACACACAGAUGAUCAGACUGCAGAUGAUACAGUGGUCUCCUCUUCAGAGGAUACACUGAAUUUCUAUUUGAUCCUGCUGGCCGACAACCCGGUUUGUUUUCUAACAUGAUUGGGAAACUUGUCAACAUCAAAGCAGGCUAUAUUUUUGAAGAUCUGAAGGAACAACCACAUACAGCCAUAGCAUAGCACUAUUUUUUUCCCCCUACAUGUGCUGUUUGCCCCUUCCCUCAGUUCUGUGCUGUAUCUCAGGGUUGUGUUGCCAGAGUGUCUUAUGAGUUUUGAAGGAUGGGCCUCCAUUCUCCAGUCCUCAUCCAGAAGGCUUUUGAACCCCUGAGUCAGACCUGGACGCUCCAGGGAACACCUGCUUUAGGAAGUUUGUUCUACUUGGAUAGGACCAUCACAGCCGUUCAUCCAUAACCCUCCCUUCUGCUUGUCCUCUUUCUCUUUCUCAGUAAAUUAGCAUGUUUUCAAACACACAUAAAUCUGCUGGUGCUCAAGUUUGAAAUCUGAGAACUCAAAUGUUCAUCCACUUCAUAUGCCAGUGCUGAUUUUCAAACUGUGUGAAAUUCUAGUAAUUAAAGGGAUGUCCUGCAUAUACACUACAUUCAUUGUUAAGUGUUCUGCAAGCACUCACAAAGCCACUGCUGUGAUGGGUGUCAUGGCUUGCAGUCUGUUGAAGGCCAAAGUCUCAGUAAUUUUUCAUGUUC